GGUUUUAUCUCUGGAGAAGAACUUUUAAGAAGAAGGGUUUGAAAAACUGAAGGUAUUUGAAGAACUCUGACGAACUGAAGUUGAAGAGAAUUAGUAUGCUAUAGGUGGACUGAAGUGCAGGGAAAGUAUGAAAUUGUGGGGUUGUUUUUGUGAGAUGGAUGAAGGAUAUGAAGAAUAAGGAAAUGGUGGUUCUGGUAGAGCUUUAAUAACAUUUGAUAUUGGAUGGUUCUGGACCUGAUGUUGUUUGAGUUAAGAAGAUAGAAUGGGGCUGCAGUUGGGAGAAGGAAUUGCAGGCAUGUUGCUGCUGUACGUGAUGAGCAUCUGAAGGUGUGCAGAUUUUGGUUUAAUACCGAUAUUUUCAUACCAAGAGAUCGAAGCCUUGCACAAUUUAUUGAAAAGUUGAAGAAAAUGUACAUCGAAUUCCUUGAAUGUAUGACACAAUGGAAGAAAAGAAAGCUCAGCUCAAAAAUAAUUUUACACCAGUGGUUUAAAUGCUUCAAGGAGGCUGAAGCAUUGGCAGAGGCUAGAGCGAACAAAGAGGUAAGUGGUUUAAUACUUAUCUUG